GCAACCCUGAUUGGAGGACGGCCGUGCUCCCCACUCACCCACAGUCGCCCAACGUGAUAGCUGCUACGUUAAGUGAGUCAUGGUAUCUUUAUUUGGAGGACAUUUGUUAGUGCGUCUUUAAAAGGUAACUCACCAAAUAAUAUAACGUUAACUAACUUUAGUUGAUACUUUGACUCAUGAUGGUCAUCAUUCCUUUGGUCGUAUUUAUUUGAAUAUUAUAUUAUUUUGUUUCGUUACUUAUAGCAGCGGUGGCGGCUGGUCCAUUGACGCCAAUGGGGGGGGCCCCCACCCCACCAAAACAACAUUGUCAUUUUUGUUUAUAUUAAAAAUACAUUUUACAAAUAGUCAAUGUUUGUGUAUUUGAAACAUGGAUUAUGUACCUGGUAAUAUUGUAAAUUAAGAUAUCUGCACAAAAUAUAUUCUUUUCAUGCAUGUCCCAAAAGGCAGAAGGGUCUAAGAAGCAGUUAGCCAAUCACCGAUAAAGGUAAUCAGCGACAUUGUAAUUUCAGGGCCCUAAAAUACAUUGAGAUUUGGGGCCAGACCUGGACUCUCCGGGCGAGUCUCGAGUCUCGCGACGCGCCCAUUUAGCGACAUGACAAUGGCGUUAUGUUGGAGUGUCCCCCCAACAAGACCAAACCCGAACUCGGUACAUUCUCUCCGUACCGUUUGUCAGAAGAACGUUUCGCGGAGAAACUAGAGGGCUUGUAUGUGAACAUCUGCAUGGACCGCCAGAAAAUGUUCGUCAACAUUCCAGGAGAAUUACUGAUCGGGAUAAUUGAGUUGGUCUUCAUUCCUCUGGUUACGACAGCUCUGCCAUACUGCCAGUAACUUUGCGGUGCUGUGAGAGAAGGAACGGGAUUGACCGUAGAAUCACCCGCUUCACGCUGCCCAUCGCCCCCAGCCUCAACAUGGACGGGACCAACCAUCGGGUCAGUGGCAGUUAAUGAUUCUCUUUUCUGUUCCAGAAUCGAAAGAAAUCAUAGAUAUCAAUUAAGAUGACAUAAUAUGGCAUUUGAUGAUGGUUUGGUGACUUCAGUGGUCUCCAGUCUGGGAUCAUCAGGGCUCCCAGCUGUGAGAGCCGUGACCACCGUCUUUCUCUUGUCAUCAGUAGGCAUACCUGCGAAGUGACCGUGGUGACGGUGGAAUGGCUGCUGUAAGUUUUAAUGCUUGCACAAAAUGGAGUUAAUGUAUUGUGUCCUGUUGCUGUAUGUUUUGCUAACAUGGUUUACGCGAUCGCCGUCUUCCAGACACCGCUGAGAACACUGUUGUCCAAGUGUUGGGAGACUCCUUCAGCGCGUCACUGAUCCACCAGCUGUGAUCUGGGAGAAGAAGUAAGCGUUGUUUUUACAGAGUACGUUGGUAGGUAGUGUGGAAUUUGACAGCAUUUUUCCAGACUUCAGAAAACGAAUAAGUAAAUAAGAGGUUUUAAGACGCUUUGUGGCCAAAGGAAAACAGGCCCCUUGUACAUCAGACACAGAUGUUACGGCAACAGCUGGAGACGGUUCAACAUAUGCUUUGGAGUUUUUAAAGUUUGUGUCACACUAUUGACGAGUGGGUUGUGUUUUUUCUGACUAGACGUCUAAUGAAAAUGCUAUGGGACACAUCCAGGAUAAGCAGGUCCGCUCCACUGCGCGCCGAUGACUCCCUCUGCCACCCACCAGAAUGUAUUAUUAUUAUUAUUAUGUAACCAAAGAAAAGUUGCCUCUGAAAAGGUUUCUCUCUCUAGAACUAAAAAAAGAGUUUCAAAGUAGGGUGAUAUGCAUUUCUUUUGUAAGGCAUUAGUACUAAUGUAAUUUAUUGUGUUAGUAGUUGCCUUUAAUAGAUACAUACACCUUCACAUCUUCCGCCGCAAACUAAAGACACACCUCUUCAGACUCUACCUCGACUAAAAGACUAAUAAAUUGUAGCACUUAAUUGUACAUGUAACGUCACUCAUCUAUAGCAAAUUGUAAAUUGGCUUUUUUGAGGAAAUUGCACUUUCUUGUUUCUUGCCCUAUGGUUAGAUGCACUUAUUGUAUGUCCCUUUGGAUAAAAGCGUCAGCUAAAUGACAUGUAAUGUAAUGCAGUAGUAAUAAUAGUCACGUCAUUUAUAGUGUUAGUAGUUGCCUUUGAUAGAUAGAGGAGUUGUUUUGUAAUGUAGUAGUAUUAAUAGUCAUGUAAU